AUUAUAUUGUUAACCACUUCCAUCAAAGUAAUCAAUUGUCUAUUCUUCGACAUGUCAAUUUAAAAGAAUCUUAGCACAUUCCGAUUUACGAAAAUAGCAAAGAACCUAGCAUCUCAUGUUCUCAUACUAAGCAAUUAACUUGCAAGAAAUUAAUGAAAAUACAAAAUCUAAGGCGUUCGCUUGCGGUACUUCUUUUUGUAAGUUUGACGAGCUUCGCUAUUUAAGCUUUGAAUAACCGAAUAACGACCAUCUCCAGUUGAGCAAAGGACAUUGUUUUAAGGUUAAAACGAUUCAUUUAGAUGCGAAGUUGAAACCCAUAUGUAUUGAUGUAUAGUUAAAUAACUAGAUUUUCUAUCCAAUACGAUCAUUUUUUUUAUGUUGUCUAACUUUUUUUUGAGAUUGAGCAUUGCUAAUCUUUGCAGAAAAAUUCUUUCAAGACCCAUGUCUUAAUUCAUUGGAAUAACGUUUAUAAUGUUAACAGUUGAUCUUUGCCUAUUAUAUAUUUAUGUAGAAAUUAAAAAAUUCUACUAUCUCAAAGUGAUACUGUCAAAAUUAAUCAAUGUCUUUUAUUAAUGUGUUCUCUCAGUUCCUCUUUCGUUCUAUAAACAAUGCAAAUGAAAAAUCUCAGCAACGAUUAAUUUUCAAAUAUCAAAUUGCCUUGGAUGCUCAAUAAAUCUUUUUUUUGUUCCCAUGGCCUGUCGCGUUUACAAUGAGAUGUUUACUUUAGAUUUCGAAUGCAAAAAUACACUGUUAUCAUCCAGAGAUCAACAAACCAAUUUUAAAGUCAAUUGCUUGAACUUGGCCCUCUUUUAUAGUUGGAGAAUUAAUGAUUAACUUCAUUUAUGUUAUUUUUAACGUAUUAUGCAUGAACCGAACCCAGUGAUCUCAUAAGUCAAGGUGGAAACAAGAGGACAAGAAAUCAAAAAAAAUUACAUUGAAAAAAAAAAGUUAAAGAUUCUAACAUUGUUUCUCAGUUCAGCAACUUUCUGAAUGGACAGAUCCAUCGCUCAGUUUUAAAAAGGAUAUUAUAAUUUUAUAUACAACAUAUUCUUUUAGAUAAUUUAUUUCAAAUACUGACUUGAAAUAAUAAUCAAUAAUUAUAUCAAACAGGUUUUCCCUCUUAACAUAAUAUAUUUGAUUUUCAGGAUAUCGCUGUCACUUAUGUUACUUAUUAGCUGUCUACAGUGCCGCAUCUCUAUAUAGUGGAUCUUUGGUUCAUACUGUAUGUGUAUUUGUUACCCAUCAUUCAAAUAUUAU
rnacentral:lncRNA from 1 species